UACGGGGGGAGCAAGCGUUGUUCGGAUUUACUGGGCGUAAAGGGCGCGUAGGCGGCCACCGCAAGUCGACUGUGAAAUCUCCGGGCUUAACUCGGAAAGGUCAGCCGAUACUGCGGGGCUAGAGUGCAGAAGGGGCAACUGGAAUUCUCGGUGUAGCGGUGAAAUGCGUAGAUAUCGAGAGGAACACCUGCGGCGAAGGCGGGUUGCUGGGCUGACACUGACGCUGAUGCGCGAAAGCGUGGGGAGCAAACAGG
rnacentral:rRNA from 1 species